rnacentral:rRNA from 1 species
UGCCGAUAAAAAGGGCUUGUGCGUCGAUACCUUGGCGGGCUUGAAGUCCGCCAAACACAACAAAGCCGCGAUAGGCAAACCGAUUGCCGAAUAUAUGUUGGUU